GAACUUAGCGUCUAGGGUUCCGGCUUGGUUGAUUUAACAAGUGUCUGGUCCGAGAGAUGCAGUUAGGCUUUUGUUAAUCAAGCCUAAUUCACGGAGGGAUAAAAGCCCGGGAGGA
rnacentral:sRNA from 2 species